GUGGGGAAUCUUCCGCAAUGGACGAAAGUCUGACGGAGCGACGCCGCGUGAGUGAAGAAGGCCUUCGGGUCGUAAAGCUCUGUCAUCAGGGACGAACGGCCGGUGGAGUGGAAAGCCACCGGAUUGACGGUACCUGAGAAGGAAGCCACGGCUAACUACGUGCCAGCAGCCGCGGUAAUACGUAGGUGGCAAGCGUUGUCCGGAAUUAUUGGGCGUAAAGCGCGCGCAGGUGGGAUCUUAAGUCCAUUUUGAAAGUUCGGAGCUCAACUCCGUGAUGGGAUGGAAACUGGGAUUCUUGAGUACCGGAGAGGAAAGCGGAAUUCCCCGUGUAGCGGUGAAAUGCGUAGAUAUGGGGAGGAACACCAGUGGCGAAGGCGGCUUUCUGGACGGUGUCUGACACUGAGGCGCGAAAGCCAGGGGAGCGAACGGGAUUAGAUACCCGUGUAGUCC
rnacentral:rRNA from 1 species